GGGGGUAUAGCUCACUGGUAGAGCAAAUGCUUAUAGCAUGCAUGAAGUCCUAGGUUCAAUCUCCAGUACCUCCA
rnacentral:tRNA from 1 species